GACGAACGCUGGCGGCGUGCUUAACACAUGCAAGUCGAACGGAAAGGCCCUGCUUUUGUGGGGUGCUCGAGUGGCGAACGGGUGAGUAACACGUGAGUAACCUGCCCUUGACUUUGGGAUAACUUCAGGAAACUGGGGCUAAUACCGGAUAGGAGCUCCUGCUGCAUGGUGGGGGUUGGAAAGUUUCGGCGGUUGGGGAUGGACUCGCGGCUUAUCAGCUUGUUGGUGGGGUAGUGGCUUACAAAGGCUUUGACGGCUAGCCGGCCUGAUAGGGUGACCAGCCACAUUGGGACUGUGAUACGGCCCAGACUCCUACGGGAGGCAGCAGUGGGGAAUAUUGCACAAUGGGCUGAAGCCUGAUGCAGCAACGCCGCGUGCGGGAUGACGGCCUUCGGGUUGUAAACCGCUUUCGCCUGUGACGAAGCGUGAGUGACGGUAAUGGGUAAAGAAGCACCGGCUAACUACGUG
rnacentral:rRNA from 1 species